rnacentral:misc_RNA from 1 species
CUGAAAUUUCAGCAAUUUAGGAGUCAUUUUCAUCGAAAAAAAAAUCUAACAAAUUCCUUGACUUGAUCUAAUGGAUUUUUGCAACUAGGAAGUCGUACAACUGUUCCAACAACAAAGAUGGGUAGAUCAGCGAUUGGAGAAGGGUUGGGGAGGGUCAAAUGCCAAAGAAAUCAGGAAAACUUGUAGGUCUAGAUUCAAGUCAAGAUCUCUUUUUUGGGAAGUUGCAGGUGAUCAAAAAGGCGUCGGAAGGGUUGCCUGGAUGUCGUCGGUGGAUUGGCAGUGGCAGUGCUUGGGUUUGAUGGCUGGAUGGUGGUGUAUGGUGGGGGGUGAGAGUGUCCGUUGAGUUGCACCAUUUCUCAAAGCU